rnacentral:lncRNA from 1 species
AGGAAACGACUGUAGUAUAUGAGAUCCAUUGUGGUAUAUGUUGACUGAAACAUCAUUAGGUGGUACAUGAAUGUAUUUGACAUUAAGAGCUGAACAGAAAGCAUGGCUUUUGAGGCCUCAGGAAACACAAUCAUGGUGCAAGGUGAAGAAGAAGGGGGCACAUCUUACAUCGCCAAAGGAAGAGGGAGAGAGAGCAAAGACGGAGGUGCUACACACUUUUAAACAAUCAGAUCUUGUGAGAGCUCACUCACUGUCAUGAGAACGGCAACGGGGAAAUCUAUCCCCAUGAUUGAAUCACCUCCAAGCAGGCCCCUCUGUUUAACACUGGAGAUUACAAUUCGACCUUAGAUUUAGGUGGGGACACAAAUCCAAACCAUAUUAAAUAUCAUGGAGCAAGUUAGUCUAGAUGAUAUCACAUUUGUAUAAGGCCAUGAUAUAGUGGCCUUAUUUUCAUAUUUUUAGUAUUUCAGCAAAUGUUUGAAUUUAUUUAAGAGGUAUAUUAAAAAUAUAUGCCAAAAUAAAAACAUGCUCAAAAGGU